rnacentral:rRNA from 1 species
GAUGAACGCUAGCUACAGGCUUAACACAUGCAAGUAGAGGGGUAACAAGAGAAAAGCUUGCUUUUCUUGUUGACGACAGGCGCACGGGUGAGUAACGCGUAUCCAACUUGCCUCUAACUAGGGAAUAACCUUGUGAAAGUAAGACUAAUGCCCUAUGACUUCCUUUGGCGUCAUCAAAAAGGGAAUAAAGAUUUAUCGGUCAUCGACGGGGAUGGGUCUGAUUAGCUUGUUGGCGGGGUAACGGCCCACCAAGUCAACGAUCAGUAGGGGUUCUGAGAGGAAGGUCCCCCACAUUGGAACUGAGACACGGUCCAAAAUCCUACGGGAGGCAGCAGUGAGGAAUAUUGGUCAAUGGGCGGAAGCCUGAACCAGCCAAGUAGCGUGCAGGAUGACGGCCCUAUGGGUUGUAAACUGCUUUUAUACAGGGAUAAAGUUAGCCACGUGUGGUUAUUUGCAGGUACUGUAUGAAUGAGGACCGGCUAAUUCCGUGCCAGCAGCCGCGGUAACAC